UACGAAGGGUGCAAGCGUUAAUCGGAAUUCCUGGGCGUAAAGGGUGCGUAGGCGGUUCGUUAAGUCUGUCGUGAAAUCCCCGGGCUCAACCUGGGAAUGGCGAUGGAUACUGGCGAGCUAGAGUGUGUCAGAGGAUGGUGGAAUUCCCGGUGUAGCAGUGAAAUGCGUAGAGAUCGGGAGGAACACCAGUGGCGAAGGCGGCCUUCUGGACCAGUACUGACGCUCAUGCACGAAAGCGUGGGGAGCAAACAGG
rnacentral:rRNA from 1 species